rnacentral:rRNA from 1 species
GACGAACGCUGGCGGCGUGCCUAAUACAUGCAAGUCGAGCGGACAGACGGGAGCUUGCUCCCUGAUGUUAGCGGCGGACGGGUGAGUAACACGUGGGUAACCUGCCUGUAAGACUGGGAUAACUCCGGGAAACCGGGGCUAAUACCGGAUGGUUGUCUGAACCGCAUGGUUCCGACAUAAAAGGUGGCUUCGGCUACCACUUACAGAUGGACCCGCGGCGCAUUAGCUAGUUGGUGAGGUAACGGCUCACCAAGGCAACGAUGCGUAGCCGACCUGAGAGGGUGAUCGGCCACCCUGGGACUGAGACACGGCCCAGACUCCUACGGGAGGCAGCAGUAGGGAAUCUUCCGCAAUGGACGACAGUCUGACGGAGCAACGCCGCGUGAGUGAUGAAGGUUUUCGGAUCGUAAAGCUCUGUUGUUAGGGAAGAACAAGUGCCGUUCAAAUAGGGCGGCACCUUGACGGUACCUAACCAGAAAGCCACGGCUAACUACGUG